UACGAAGGGGGCUAGCGUUGCUCGGAAUCACUGGGCGUAAAGCGCACGUAGGCGGCUUUCUAAGUCAGGGGUGAAAUCCUGGAGCUCAACUCCAGAACUGCCUUUGAUACUGAGGAGCUCGAGUCCGGGAGAGGUGAGUGGAACUCCGAGUGUAGAGGUGAAAUUCGUAGAUAUUCGGAAGAACACCAGUGGCGAAGGCGGCUCACUGGCCCGGUACUGACGCUGAGGUGCGAAAGCGUGGGGAGCAAACAGG
rnacentral:rRNA from 1 species